AUUGAACGCUGGCGGCAGGCCUAACACAUGCAAGUCGAGCGGGGUUUUCGGACCUAGCGGCGGACGGGUGAGUAAUGCGUAGGAAGCUACCCGAUAGAGGGGGAUACCAGUUGGAAACGACUGUUAAUACCGCAUAAUGUCUACGGACCAAAGUGUGGGACCUUCGGGCCACAUGCUAUCGGAUGCGCCUACGUGGGAUUAGCUAGUUGGUGAGGUAAUGUCUCACCAAGGCGACGAUCCCUAUCUGGUUGGAGAGGAUGAUCAGCCACACUGGAGAUGAGACACGGGCCAGACUCCUAAGGGAGGCAGCAGUGGGGAAUAUUGGACAAUGGGCGCAAGCCUGAUCCAGCCAUGCCGCGUGUGUGAAGAAGGCCUUCGGGUUGUAAAGCACUUUCAGUAGGGAGGAAGCGUUGUGUGUUAAUAGUACACAGCGUUGACGUUACCUACAGAAGAAGCACCGGCUAACUCUGUGCCAGCCGCCGCAGUAAAAC
rnacentral:rRNA from 1 species